CCCAUGGCCGCAGGCGGUGAGGGAGGCCGGUCUUCCCCUCACAGUUAGCCCGAAGGCGGCUCGGAUCGGGCCCUAGCCCGCGGUAGCUGCGACUGGGAUCCUCUGGCAGAGGGUCUCAAGCAGCCUGGAUGCUGGCGGCACUUUGUGAGGUUAAGACCUUUUGCCUUGCGUAUAGCUGGUGUUUUGCAGAGUUUAAGUGUUAUCUUGGACCCGUUAGCAGAGCUCAUGUUUAUUUCGGCAGGGCCAUGAAGUAGCCUUGUAUCUGACAUCUGCUUGGAGAAUGGGAAUAAUUGUCCUUAAAUUGGCUGGAAACCUGAAUGUCUCUUGAAGAAGUGAAAUCAUAUGCAGAGAGCAUGGCUUGUGCACAGAUACCAGCUGAUACCAUCGCUGUCCCUGCUGUGCUUUGCAAGAUGACUUCAUUGAAAAGCUGUAGCAAGGACCUCAGCAGAGCAACAACUGAUCACAAGGACUCCCCCGUGUCUCCUUGAUCUUCGUCAUUGGCAACUCUUUCUUGCUGCUAUCAUGUAGUUUCCAUUACAUCGUAAGGUCUUUGUGAGUCUGUCUUUGCUACUCAUUAGAAUACAGUCACCCAUUUUUCACUUCAGCAUUUUGCAGUGUCCUUCACUGUUGUCUUUCUUCCUCAUCUGUCAAUCUUACUAUUGAUUAUUGGUACAGAGACAAACUAAACCUAUUCUGAGUCAAUCUGCAUGGAGAGAACCAGAUGAUUGCUAGUGUGAGUAGCUCAAGAACAGAUCUUUGCCUUUUGUCCAAGCAAUACUCAGGCAGCCAUGCACAUCCCUCUGCAAUUAAACACAUUUCAAACUGUAGCAGAAUUUUAUUGGAAAAUCAGAUGUUCCAUGUUUCUUGAUGGCUGAUUUUCCAGCAAUUAAAAAGUGGGACGAGCUCCAUUAGAGUCAUAACAAUGCCUGACAAAUCUUUCUUUAAAGGUAAUUAAUGGCUGAAUGGUGGAACAUCCGUUAGUCUUUUCCCCGUGAUGUUCACUGGCAAAGGCAAGAAGGGGUAGAAAACCAAAUAAAGAGAAAAAAUGACCCUUGAAUAAGAAACUCUCAGAUUUUUCAGCUCCAAAAGCCGUAUGAAAUAAAGCCAAUAAAAUGAAACUUGUUUACUACAAACAGUUGCAUUUUAAAAAAGCACUGACCAGUUUUCAACCCACUCUACCUUCUGUAGCAGAAAGAUUUUGUAUAAUAAGCUGGACACUGAAAUUGUGAAGUCAUGAACAAUCUAAAACACAGUAAUGCAUUGUGGCAGAAACACUUUCAUUUUCCUCCUUCCAAGGAACCAGAAUGUUACUUUGCUUUUUCUCAGAUCACAGCAGGAUUUUAAGGGUGGUUCUUCUAUUGAUUUUUGGCAUAUCUGCUAUGCUUUGCAGAUAUUUCUUUUGAUACGUGCUGUGUUCUGCUCCUGUGGGCUGGUAUAUUAAUAGUAUUUGAUUUUAAGCACUUUCAUGAAUCAUGUUGCCAGCUACAUUUAGCUGUUCCUAUUACAAUACAUAAACCACCACAAAGCAACCAAAUGCUAUUCCUAUCACAAUACAUAGACCAAAUGCUGCGGUAAUGGAGGUCAGAAGAAAAAAUUAGGGGAGGAGAUUGAAAGAUUUGAGUCCUUAGGACAUCACCUUACAAAACAUAGAUCUGUUACUCACCUGUGCAUCAGUUCUGGCAGUAUAUAUGAAUAGUAUGUGUAUUUACUUCAUAGCAACAUUUUUCAGGCUUCCUGAUUUACUGAUUGCCAAUGGUUGGAGCACUAAAUCAUUAAUAAUGUGUUAAAUUUGUCACUGUUAUUGACAAAUCCACUGAGUAAAGCACAAGGAGUAAAACGUUCAUAGGUAUGGAAGAGCCAUUCAGAUGUACAGCAGCAUUCCUUUGCAGUAAAAGGACCUUGAGCAGGAGGAAAAAGCAAAGUGAGCCUUCCUUGCCCUAAGGGAAUGACUCUGUUCGUCUCUGGUGUGACCAGUCACUUUUUAAUGUGGUUAUCAUUAUUCACUGGGUUGGAUCACUGCCCACAGGGGUGGGUUUAUGAGUGCCCUGGAGUUUUGUGUCAGUGGAGAACGAUGAGCUCUGCUCCCUUUGGGCUGCACUGAAGGCAGCUUCCACAGAGACACUCUUACAGGUUUUAUUGUUGAAGAGGACAAGGCCAGCAGCUCUUAGCAGGGCUGCAGAGUGCAGGCAUUGCGCUGCUGCCAGUCAGUGUGAAGGAAGAUGAAGGACAACAGACAGGGAAGAGGCAGCUAGAAGAGGAAAAGCAAGGCCUUAAAUGGAGAAACAGCAGCAGUCACCUACUUCUGUGGCUACAGAUGUAAUGAUUUUGUCUGCUCUCUUGCAGUCUGAGAGCAAUUCUGUCAUCAGGCCUGAAUGUUUUAUUCUCAAAGAUGGAUCCUUGUCCUGACAGUGGUAAUGAGCAAGUAGGAAUAGGAAUAAUGCCGUAAGUGUCCUUGAUAUCCAAUCCCCUUACACAUCAGUUGCAGCAAUGGCAAGCUGUGGCAUCUCUAGUUGCAUUUCCAGCCUCUUUGCUUCUUUGGUAAUGCCAACUGACACCUUUUUUUAUCAACCCUGUUAUAAAAGCCACUUUCCUCAGGAAUUUUUUAUUCACUCUUAGUUUAUUGAUGAAAGCAUAAUAGUGUUCCUUGAGCUAAAUCACACAGGGCAACUUCAUCCCCUUACAGCUGUGUAGAACCUCAAGCUUAUUGAUGCUGAACUCUGCUGGAGCUUUUCCAGGGACUUCAGUCACUUCAACCCUUUCAAGCUCUUUAUAAUGCUGCCCCCAGCUAUCCUCCUUGUAUUUAUUGAUCACUUUCCUUUCGAAUAAUGCUGAUAUUAGCAAACAUUGAUUAAUAACAUUUACAUUCCUUUCUCCUUAGAGUUUCAACUCACUGUUUAGUGUUAGUUUCCAGUUAUGCCUGAAAGGAGCUCAGCAAUGUCAAAGUUACUACAUUUCUCAUGCAGGGGCAUCAUGAUGGUGCUUUUGGUCAUCAUUACUGAUCAGUCCUGAGCUCCUGGUUGAUGCUUCCUGAUUUCCAAGUGGUUGUAAGCAGUAUUGCUUGUAAAAUGCUUCACAAGAUCAGAACUAUCAAUCACUUACCUACUAACAGGUGAUUCAAUAGAACCCCUCAGCAGAGGCCCCAGACAACUUCUGUAAGAGAGGUUUUAACUCUGUAUCUUAUAUUUUUCAGAUCCAUUCCUGCACAACCAAUAUAACAUUAUAAAGCACAAGAUCUGUGGAGCAGGAGAUAAUGUACAAUUAAAUAUAAACUCAUUACAGGCAAAAAAGAACCACACUCACUUGUUACAAGACCAAGUUCUGCAUAUGAGCACUGCCCUCUGCUGCUCAGGGAUUUUUGAUAAAACAGAGUUAAUUGAACAAGUUUCAGUAUUUGUUUUUA